GACGAACCGUACGAACGUUAUUCGGAAUUACUGGGCUUAAAGGGUGCGUAGGCUGUGCGGUAAGUUGGGCGUGAAAUACCUCAGCUUAACUGAGGAACUGCGUUCAAAACUACCGUGCUCGAGGGAGACAGAGGUAAGCGGAACUGAGGGUGGAGCGGUGGAAUGCGUUGAUAUCCUCAGGAACACCGGUGGCGAAAGCGGCUUACUGGGUCUCUUCUGACGCUGAUGCACGAAAGCUAGGGUAG
rnacentral:rRNA from 1 species